rnacentral:other from 1 species
UUAAACCUGCUCUGUGCGUGAGGGGUUCUAUUAAACCCACAUCUCAAAUAAGGGACGCCGUUCUUCCUUCGUGGAUUGCAGGCCUCCCGCGUGCGGCUUUGACCGGACGCGGAUGUUGGAAGCAGAGAAUCGACGGAGAGGCGACCCACCUGCAGUAUCGUGCAGGUUAUAAUCGGACUCCCACGGCAGCGCGGGCCGGGC